ensembl:snRNA U1 U1 spliceosomal RNA
AUACUUACCUGGCAGGGGAGACACCAUGAUCAUGAAGGUGGUUUUCCCAGGGUGAGGCUUAUCCAUUGCACUUUGGAUGUGCUGACCCGUGCGAUUUCCCCAAAUGUGGGAAACUUGACUGCAUAAUUUGUGGUAGUUGGGGACUACGUUCCCGCUUUCCCCUG